AGCCACUGCAGCUAACGUCCCAGCCAACUGCGAAGCAAAUAUAAAUCAUAGCAAUUUUCGAAUGCCUUAACUCGGCGGAAAACCAGAACUGUGAGUGUGUGUGUGCAAACAGUGUAGCCGAAAAAUAAUUACAAUUUGAGCGGAAUCUGAGAAGGGCAGACAGCGAAAACACACAGAGCGGAACCCGGAGAGAAGCUGAGCGACGGGAAAAGGCCAAAAAAAAAG